AGUGACAGUAGGAAGGUACCAUAGUGACAGUAGGAAGGUACCAUAGUGACAGUAGGAAGGUACCAUAGUCACAGUAGGAAGGUACUAUAGUGACAGUAGGAAGGUAC